rnacentral:rRNA from 1 species
GGAAUAUUGCGCAAUGGGGGAAACCCUGACGCAGCGACGCCGCGUGAGUGAGGAAGGCCUUCGGGUCGUAAAGCUCUGUCAGAUGGGAAGAAGUGUGUACAGGUUAAUACCCUGUACAUUUGACGGUACCAUCAGAGGAAGCACCGGCUAACUCCGUGCCAGCAGCCGCGGUAAUACGGAGGGUGCAAGCGUUGUUCGGAAUCACUGGGCGUAAAGGGCGCGCAGGCGGUUUCAUUAGUCAGAUGUGAAAGCCCACGGCUUAACCGUGGAAGUGCAUUUGAAACUGUGGAACUUGAGUAUCAGAGGGGAAGGUGGAAUUCCCGGUGUAGAGGUGAAAUUCGUAGAUAUCGGGAGGAAUACCGGUGGCGAAGGCGACUUUCUGGCUGAAUACUGACGCUGAGGCGCGAAAGCGUGGGGAGCAAACAGGAUUA